rnacentral:rRNA from 1 species
UACCUACGGGACGCAGCAGUGGGGAAUAUUGCACAAUGGGGGAAACCCUGAUGCAGCGACGCCGCGUGUGUGAGGAAGUAUUUCGGUACGUAAAGCUCUAUCAGCAGGGAAGAAAAUGACGGUACCUGCCUAAGAAGCCCCGGCUAACUACGUGCCAGCAGCCGCGGUAAUACGUAGGGGGCAAGCGUUAUCCGGAUUUACUGCGUGUAAAGCGAGCGUAGACGGUGCGCCAA